AUGCUCUUUUGCGAGAAGCCCCCGGCUCCUGCAGUUGCAAAGCAGCGACCUCCGGGACGCGGGACGGUUCAGUUGUGGUGCUGGGAGCCGGCCGGAGCCCAGCACGGUGCGGAGUGCCGUCCAGCCCCGGCUGCCUCCGGAGCCGCCCUGCGCGGGGCCGUUGGGGCGGGAGCAGCUCGUGGCUUUGGUCCCCUCCGCGGGGCGAGCUGCAGCGUCGGCCGCCCCGCUGCUCGCUGUAUGCAGCAUUUCGUAAUUGGGGAGGAACAGGGGGUUUUAGGGAGUCGGUGGGUUUGCUUGAUGUUUGACCCGUGCAUCAUCUUUCGGUGCUUUUCAUUGCAAGAAAACAGGGCAGAGCCGAUGCGUGAUGCAACGUCGGCUCGAGAUGCGAUUGCUCUCAGCGGUGAGCUGAGCCGGGUCUGGGUGCUGAAACGUCUCUUUAAACUCCCUUGCUUACAGUGUUUUGGCUGUUUUUUCCGCCGACUUGAGUCGGGAAGGGUUUCCGUGGCGGGGAGGCUGAUCAUGAGCCGCUCAGAGAGACGAUGUCCGCAGUGCAAACGCGAGCUAGGGUGCUGUGCAGAGGGACCCGUAACACCGAUUUGGUCUCGGAUCCAUGUAUUUUUGCUGGGAUUGGCUCUGAUUCCUGUAGUUACACUGCAGGCUGUGAACCCAGAGUUAUCUUUAGCUCUAAUAAGCAAAAACUGUUCUGCUGUAGAUGUUGCUGUUCCCAUCGCAUGGCUGGAAAGCAACCUCCCCCCCCCCCCUUUUUUUUUCCUGGAAUGCUGUAGGUGCCCUGCAGGAGCUUGGUUUCACGCGCGGAAGCGGGCUCUGCUGUCACCACCUCCCUUCGGAGCAGCACCGCCGGCCGUGCGAGCGAGCAGCCAGCUCUGCCRCCACUGUUGGGGACCAGCCCUCGAAAACCUGUUGUUAAACUUCCAGCUGAGCCGAUCUGAAAUUGGGUCCGAGGCCUGGAGAAGCGCCCCGGCGCCCGGCUGCCCUCCUCUCGCCUCUCCUCCGCCUGCUGCCUGCUCUUCUCCCAGGCUCUCCGGCCGGAUCUCUCUGAUCCCUUUUUUGCACGUGCUGUGGCCUCUGCAGGAUCUGAACGUUUAUAUCCUGCUAGAGGAAAAUUUCUUGCAGUCAGCAGGUGUUUUGCAACAUGAAUUACAAACCAAUGCUCGGAAAGCGAGCGAGGAACCGGUGCCUCUCCGAGCCCGGGCUGAAACAGCAGCAAGCUGGGUUAUUCUGGAGUUGCAUACGACAGGUGACUUAACUGAUGGCUUCUGUUGA
rnacentral:lncRNA from 1 species